rnacentral:tRNA from 1 species
GCUAAUGUAGCGUAGCGGUAACGCGUUGGGCUUCAUGCUGGAAUGGUUUUAGCGUCGUGAAUUCGAAUCCCGCUGUUGGCG